GAAUGUUUAAAAUGACCCUAUUUUCAUUGGGAUGAUAUAGAGAAGAUUAGGAUAGCACCUGUUCAAGGAUAUCAUGCAAAUUUGUGACAUGUUCUAUAUUUUU